rnacentral:rRNA from 1 species
GCUUGUCUCAAAGAUUAAGCCAUGCAUGUCUAAGUAUAAAUCUUUUACUUUGAAACUGCGAACGGCUCAUUAUAUCAGUUAUAGUUUAUUUGAUAGUCCCUUACUACUUGGAUAACCGUAGUAAUUCUAGAGCUAAUACAUGCGUCAAUACCCUUCUGGGGUAGUAUUUAUUAGAUUGAAACCAACCGCUUCGGCGUGAUGUGGUGAUUCAUAAUAACUUUUCGGAUCGCAUGGCGCAAGCCGGCGACGUUUCAUUCAAAUUUCUGCCCUAUCAACUUUCGAUGGUAAGGUAUUGGCUUACCAUGGUUACAACGGGUAACGGAGAAUUAGGGUUCGAUUCCGGAGAGGGAGCCUGAGAAACGGCUACCACUUCCAAGGAAGGCAGCAGG